rnacentral:pre_miRNA from 1 species
UCUGUACUCCCUCCGUCCCAAAAUUCUUUUCUUAAAUUUGUCUAAAUACGGAUGUAUCUAGUUACAUUUUAGUGUUAGAUACAUCCAUAUCUAAACAAAUGUAAGACAAGAAUUUUGGGAUGGAGGGAAUACUAC